UCAACCACGUCCAAGAACUUCCGGCACGGCACCACGUUGCUGCGCAGAGCUGCUGCUGUCAGCAGCGUACGGCCGGAGAGCUCCACCCAAGCCGCCGGAGAGACGAUUUCGCGAGCGACACCGCCAUGAUGAGACCGCAAGCUCUCGUGCUCGUCUUCUUCCUGGCUGCGGCGCUGCUGUGCCUGUUCCUGGGCGCCGCGGUCGCCUCGCCCGUGUCUGUCGCCGGCAGAUUCGCCAUGGACGGUUAGUGGGCGUGCUGCUUUGCCGCACGGUCGAGAGGAGCUAAAAUGCCUCUUCGUUUUAAUCCGUGUGCCGUGCAUGUACGUCACGUACAGGUACAGUACGUGUUGAGUACUUGAAGUAAUUAACUGGGGUGCACGGUUUUGCAGGAUUGGCCGUGGACCAAGGGAUAGACCACUUCCUCGUGCUCGCGGCGGUCUUCGUCAUAUACCUCUUCCGCUGAUCGUUCGGCCGCCCGACAGCAGUUCAGUUUUUCCCUGAUUAUUAUUUUUUUUUUCUCGUCAAUCAUGUAUUCUUUGUAGAUAGUUGACCGGUGUGCAGGAUGUUAAUAAGGAACUCUGUUGUUACAAGGGG
rnacentral:lncRNA from 1 species